UACGAAGGGGGCUAGCGUUGCUCGGAAUCACUGGGCGUAAGCGCACGUAGGCGGCUUUUUAAGUCAGGGGUGAAAUCCUGGAGCUCAACUCCAGAACUGCCUUUGAUACUGGGAGCUCGAGUCCGGGGAGAGGUGAGUGGAACUCCGAGUGUAGAGGUGAAAUUCGUAGAUAUUCGGAAGAACACCAGUGGCGAAGGCGGCUCACUGGCCCGGUACUGACGCUGAGGUGCGAAAGCGUGGGGAGCAAACAGGG
rnacentral:rRNA from 1 species